AUGGGGCUAAGAGCGGCCAGCCUCUUCCUCCUCUGGCUGGCUCUUUCCUCUGCUUAUGAAAUAAAAAAAGGAAGGACAAGAAACCAUGGCCACUAUGUCUGCAGCACUUGGGGAAACAACCACUUCAAAACUUUUGAUGGCGACGUCUACCAAUUCCCUGGCGUUUGCGAGUAUAAUUUUGUUUCCGACUGCCGAGAUGCUUACAAGGAAUUCUCUGUCCACAUCCAGCGUGCUCUCAACAGCAAUGGCCAUCCUGAGAUCCAGUAUAUUCUGAUGAAAAUCAAGGAUAUAACCGUCUACCUCAAACCAAACCUGGUUGUGGUGGAUGGGCGGAUUGUGAAGACACCUUACUACUCCUCUGGUGUCUUCAUUGAGGCCAGUGAAAUUUACACCAAGAUUUAUGCCAAAUUAGGCAUGGUUCUGAUGUGGAACCAGCAGGAUGCCCUGAUGGUGGAGCUGGACAACAAAUUUAAUAACCAUACCUGUGGUCUCUGUGGGGAUUACAAUGGAAUUCAAAUCUACAAUGAGUUCAUCAAAGGAGACACAAGCUACAACUCAAUUACAUUUGGGAACAUGCAGAAGAUCAGCAAACCCACUGCCAAAUGUGAAGAUCCAGAUGAAACCCAGGCUCUUCCAAGCUGUAAUGAGCAUCGUGAUGAGUGUCACAGGUUGCUGACUUCCCCUGCAUUUGCUGAUUGUCGGCUACGGCUUAAUUUGGAAAUGUACAUCCAAGCCUGCAUGCAGGACAAGUGUGCCUGUAAUGGGAAGACAGACUCCUUCUGCCUCUGCAGCACCAUCUCUGAGUAUUCCCGCCAGUGUUCGCACGCAGGGGGCCGCCCAAGAGAAUGGAGGACAGAGAGCUUCUGCCCCAAGAGCUGUCCUGCUACCAUGGUCUACAGAGAAAGCAGCUCACCCUGCAUGGAUACUUGCUCACACUUGGACAUCAGCAGCCUUUGUGAGGAGCACUACAUGGAUGGCUGUUUCUGCCCUGAAGGAACUGUGUAUGAUGAUAUCAGUGAAAAAGGCUGCAUCCCUGUUAGCCAGUGCCACUGCAAACUUGGUGGAAAGACCUAUGCACCUGGAGAAAGGAUUUCCAAAGAAUGUGAAGAAUGCACCUGUAAUUCAGGCAGAUGGACCUGCAAAGACCUAGACUGUCCAGGCACAUGCUCAGUGGAAGGAGGUUCCCAUAUUUCCACCUUUGAUGGGAAGAAAUACACCUUCCAUGGAGACUGCUACUAUGUGUUGGCCAAGGGUACUGAAAAUGAGAAUUAUGCUCUCCUGGCAGAGCUGGCUCCCUGUGGCUCCACAGACAAACAGACCUGCUUGAAGACUGUUGUGCUGUUAGCAGAUAACAAAAAGAAUGUAAGUGGUUUCAUGUUUUGUUUUUCAGCCAGCUUCUCAGUAUUCAAGCCGUCUUCCAACUACUUUGUUGUACAAACUUCUUUUGGGCUUCAGAUGCAGAUCCAGCUGUUUCGAGUCAUGCAGCUGUUUGUGACUGUGGAUCAAUCAGUUAAAGGAAAACUUCAAGGUCUUUGUGGAAACUUCAAUGGAGUGGAAGGUGAUGACUUUAGAACAACCAGCGGGCUGAUUGAGGCUACAGGAUCUGCCUUUGCUAACACAUGGAAAGCUCAGUCCACCUGCUCAGACCAGGCAGAAAAGCUGGAAGACCCCUGCAGUCUCAGCAUUGAAAGUGCAAAUUAUGCUGAGCAUUGGUGUUCUUUGCUGAGAAACCCAAAGGGUCCUUUUGCAAGAUGUCACUCAGCCAUUGAUCCUUCAGAAUACUAUAAGAAAUGUAAAUAUGACACCUGCCUCUGUGAAGACAAUGAAGAAUGUUUGUGUGCUGCCCUGUCCUCUUACUCAAGAGCCUGUGCUUUCAAAGGGAUCAUACUGGGAAACUGGAGAAACAGUGUCUGCAGUAACGAAGCAUCUUCUUGCUCAGGAAAUCAAGUCUUCCUUUACAAUCUUACAAUGUGCCAGCAAACCUGUCGUUCCCUUGCUGAUGGUGAAAAGUAUUGCUUGCAAGACUUUGCUCCUGUGGAUGGCUGUGGCUGCCCAUCCAAUACAUACUUGGAUAACCAGGAUAACUGUGUGCCCAUCUCCCAGUGCCCAUGUUAUUACAAGGGCUCAUACCUGGAACCUGGGGAAUAUUUCACAAAAGAUGGAGAACGCUGUGUUUGCCGAAAUGCUAAGAUCCAGUGCACUUCAGUGAAAAUAAAAAUGAGAAGUGAAGAAGCAUGUUCUUCCAACAAGACAUACUUUGACUGCAGUGCAUCCUCAAAGUGGAGUUCACAAACACCUCUACAGCUUAGCUGUCAUACUCCUCAAACUGAUCAUUUCCAGGCAGAGUGUGUCUCAGGCUGUGUGUGUCCUGAAGGUCUAUUUGAUGAUGGCAGAGGGGGCUGUGUUGAGCAAAAAGAUUGCCCAUGCAUUCAUAACAAUGAGUUGUAUUCUUCUGGACACAAGAUAAAAGUGGACUGCAACACUUGCACCUGCCAGAAAGGGCUUUGGAAAUGCACUGAUGACGUGUGCUAUGGGACUUGCACAAUAUAUGGAAGUGGCCAUUAUAACACUUUUGAUGGGAAAUUCUAUGACUUUGAUGGGAGCUGUGAAUAUGUGGCUGCUCAGGACUUCUGUGGCGACAAAAAUUCCAGUGGCUCAUUCAGUAUCAUCACAGAGAAUGUCCCUUGUGGAACUACAGGAGUCACCUGCUCAAAGGCUAUCAAAAUGUUCCUAGGGAAAACUGAACUGAAAUUGGAGAACAAAGAGUACAAAGAAAUUCAGCGAGAUGUUGGUGAUGAUGUGCAGUAUUGGAACAGGACAGUCGGGCUGUACUUGGUUAUUGAGGCUAGCAAUGGUGUGAUGCUGAUCUGGGACAAGAAGACCACUGUUUUCAUCAAGCUGAGCCCUGAUUACAAAGGCAAAGUGUGUGGUCUGUGUGGCAACUUUGAUGACAAGGCAAACAACGAUUUUACAACAAGGAGUGGACUGCAGGACUCUAAUCCUCUGAUUUUUGGAAAUUCCUGGAAACAAUCUCCCAUGUGCCCAGAUGUCACAAAAGAGAUUAAGCCCUGUGAUCUGAAACCACACCGGAAAUCCUGGGCAGAGAAAGAAUGCAGCAUCAUCCAGAGCGAAGUCUUCGAAAUUUGUCACUCCAAGGUGAACCCACUUCCUUUCUAUGAAGCUUGUGUUCAUGAUGCCUGCUCUUGUGACAGUGGUGGAGAUUGCGAGUGCUUCUGCUCUGCAGUUGCAGCGUACGCCCAAGAGUGCAUCAAGGCUGAGGCCUGUGUUUUCUGGAGAACUCCUGAUAUCUGCCCCAUAUUCUGUGACUACUACAACCCUCGCAAUGAGUGUGACUGGCACUACGAGCCUUGUGGCAGUAAUAUCACAACCUGCAGGAUGAUCAAUAACGUCAGCACCAACUUUACAAUACCACUACUGGAAGGCUGCUACCCCAGAUGCCCUAAGGACAAGCCUAUUUAUAAUGAAGAGACAAAGGAAUGUGUGACUGAAGACAAAUGUGGAUGUUACCUCGAGGAUGGAACCCAUGUACCCCCUGGGCAAGAAGUAGUCACAGAAGACAACUGUACAAUAUGGUAUAUAAAAAUUACUUGCAGUAAUUCAGGAAAUAAUUUGUGUAUGCGGAGGUGUCCUUGUAUCAUCAAUGGAACACGUUAUGAAGUGGGUGAAGUUAUCGGAAAAGUACAGGAUGGCGACAUAUGUAUAAUAUACAUUUGUGCAGAAGAUGGUACUACAAAUAUUACGAUCGUGCCUUGUCCAACAACUUCACCUACAACCAUUUCAACCUCCUUCCCUUCCAGCACUCUUACCACCACCACCACCACAGUUUCCACUACGAGCCAUCCAGUAACUACAACUCCUUGCUUUGGACUGAUCUGUGAGUGGACUGAGUGGUUUGAUGUUAGCAAACCUGAAGAAGGUGAUGGUGACUAUGAAACAUACGAGGAAAUAAGAAACCAUGGAAACAAAAUAUGUAGAGCUCCUGAAAAAAUUGAAUGCAGGGCUAAGGAUAAACCUGAUGUGAGCUUAGAAGAACUUGGUCAGAAAGUCCAGUGUAAUGUUACAUAUGGGCUAAUCUGUAAAAAUGAUGAGCAAGAUGUAACUAUGUGGCAACUUUGCUAUAAUUAUGAAAUCAGAGUAAACUGUUGUGAGUGGCAAGAAAUACCUUGUGAGCCUACAACUACACCUACUACACCACAAACUACAACUUCAACCACCAUCAAGACAAUACCCACCACCACUACAAUCAGGACUUCAACCACACCUAUAGCCGAGCCUACCACAAGUGAGUAUAUACCACCAGUCUUCACUCCAGUAACCUCAACAUCUACAGUUCACAUUGAGUCCCACUCAUGCCUUUGUGCCUUUGUCUCUUUUCUCUCCCUACUGUUUCUACCAGGCACACCCAGCACAGCAUCCCCAACAACAGAAUUGCCAACCACUCCCCCACCACCAGAGACUCCCAUCACCACCACCCCCACUACCACCACCACCACCACCAGAGGACCAACGACAACAACAACUGUUCCACCAACAACCACCACAGUUACAGAAGGUAUGAUCCAAAACCAAAUAAUUCCCACCAAAAGCCCUGUGCCUCCAACUACAGUACCAACACAGAAUUCUCUUGCUCUCUUGUCAUUGGGGAUGCCCAAGGCAUCAGCUGUGUGUGAGCUGGUGCCCUGCAUUGGUGUCUCUGUCCUGUCUGUUUCUAAUUGUCUGUCUUGUUGUCGCCUCCCAGGCUGUGACUGCGUCUGGUCGGACUGGAUUGACAUGACUUACCCAAAUGCUUCUGACAAGGACAGUGGUGACUACGAAACCUUUGAGAACAUUUGGAAGAACUUCCCCUCCUGGGAGUGUGCAAAAGUUGAAAAUGUUUCUUGCCGAUCAGAGAAAUUCCCUAACAUUCCCAUUGCAGAUUUAGGGCAGAAAGUGGAAUGUAGUGUUGACGUAGGUCUCGUCUGUAACAAUAAAGACCAGCAGAUAGGAGGCUUGUUGAACUACAUAUGCUUAGUAGAAAAUGAGAUGACAUUAGGAAGAAAAUUUACUCCUUCAACUACCCCUCUGCCAACAACAAGAACAACAGAAGUAAGUACACCUACUGCAAGCACCACUAGUCAACAGUCAACAUCACCAGUGUCAACAAGCCCAGUGACAGCUACCACCUCUGAAGUCACUGAAACAACACCAACCACCAAGACCACCACUUCAGGUCCCACACCCUCAAGAUCCACCAGCACCACACCAGUAACAGAAACACCUUAUCAUGAGACCACUACCAUCAGGACCCCAAGCCCCCAAUCUACCACCACUUCCAGCCCUGGCACCACCACAACCUCGGGACCAAGCAGCACUACAGUAACACCACCACCAAUAACAACAACCACCAAGACCACCACUUCAGGCCCCACACCCUCAGUGUCCACUCCCCCCACCACCACAGGAGGAACCGAAAUAAGUACCCCAGGGACAACCUCUGCAACUGUUACUACUCCAACAACAUCACCUGCAUCAACCAGCCCUGUGUCAACCACCACCUCUGGUACUACUCCAACAGAAAGCUUUACCACCACUUCAGGAACCACCUCCGUCAAUGUAACCACCACCUCCACCACAUUCACAACCCUUCCCCCUAGCUCAACUACUACAUCUGGGCCAACUGCAACAUCAACUGCAGUCACCACUACAGGAAGUUCUACGCACAGUGCAACUCCUCCAGUUAAUGGCUCAAGUUCAACUACAAGUCUAACACCAACCACUCCUAAAAAGACUUGUACUAUUUUCCCUAAUGAAUCUUAUGAGCAAGGUGACUCAUGGUGGCUCUGUAACUGCACUAAGGCAAUAUGUAUAGAAGACAACAUUGUCCAGGUGAUUCCAGUAAUCUGCAAUCCACCUCCGAAACCCACAUGUGCCAAUGGACUGUCUCCUGUGCCAGUCAUUGAUGAGGAUGGAUGCUGUUGGCACUGGGAGUGUGAUUGCUACUGCACUGGCUGGGGAGAUCCACAUUACAUGACUUUUGAUGGAUUGUACUACAGCUUUCAAGGAAAUUGUACAUAUGUCCUUGUGGAAGAGAUCAUUAAGAACGUUGACACCUUUGGUGUCUACAUUGAUAACUACCAUUGUGAUACACGGGAUGUAGUGUCCUGUCCUCGAACGCUCAUUGUGAGACACGAGACUCAGGAAAUCAGGCUAAGAACAGCAGAACCAAAUACUCUACAAGUAGAGGUGACAGUAAACAACCAGCUCGUGGCUUUACCUUAUAAAAAGUUUGGCGUGAGCAUCUAUGAGUCAGGCAUAAAUCGUGUUGUGGAAAUUCCUGAGCUGAAAAUGAAUGUGACCUACAAUGGCUUGUCCUUUUCUAUCAGAAUGCCCUACAGCCUGUUUGGCAACAACACCCAGGGACAGUGUGGUACUUGCAAUAACAACACAGCAGAUGACUGCAUGCUGCCAGAUGGAAAAAUUAUAGAUAACUGUGAAAUCAUGGCAGAUCAUUGGCAAGUUAAUGAUCCUUCCAAACCACAGUGCUCUCCAAGCCUAGUUCCUACAGGUUCACCAAGCACAACACCAACACAGCCUUGCAAAGAAUCUUCCAUCUGCGAGCUUCUUUUGGGAAGUGUGUUCAAGCCAUGCCAUUCCUUUGUCCAGCCUGAAAAGUACUAUGCAGCCUGUGUUUUUGAUAGCUGUGUACUUCCCAACCUAGACCUGGAAUGCUCAAGUCUGCAGAUCUAUGCUGCCACCUGUGCUGAUCAAGGCGUGUGCAUUGACUGGAGAAAACACACCAAUGGUGUCUGCUCUCAUGAAUGUCCUCCUGGUAAAGAAUACAGAGCAUGUGGUCCUAUUAAAGAGAUGACCUGCAAAUCAAGAGGACAGAAUGACACAUCAACUAAACAAGUGGAAGGCUGUUUCUGUCCUAAUGGAACCAUGCUGUAUGACUCUGGUGUGGAUGUCUGCGUGAAAACUUGUGGCUGUGUUGGAGUGGAUAUGAUACCAAGAGAGUUUGGAGAAAAGUUUACAGUGGACUGUCAGGACUGCAUUUGCCUGGAAGGUGAACAUGGCAUUGUAUGUCAACCUCAUGUAUGUGAUCAGAAGAAGGUCACUUGUGAUGGAGAAGGCUUCUAUGAAGUCACCGAAGUCAAUCCUAAAGACCCCUGCUGCCCUCUUUUCACUUGCAAAUGCAAUACAAGCUUGUGCACAGCCAAAGCCCCCAAGUGCUCACUGGGAUUCGAAGUUCAUUCUCAUAUUCCCAGUGGUCAGUGCUGUCCUGUAUACCAAUGUGUUCCCAAGGGGGUUUGCGUACACGAGAAUGCUGAGUUCUUGCCCAACUCCUCAGUCUUUGUUGACAAGUGUCAGAAUUGUGUGUGCACAAACGAUGUUAACGUCAGCACUCAACUGAACAUCAUCUCCUGUCAACAUGUCCCCUGCAGCACAUACUGUGAACCAGGAUAUGAACUUAAACCAGUGAAAGGUGAAUGCUGUGGAAAAUGUGUGCAGACCAAGUGUAUUAUACACACAGCAGACAAUUCUGAACUCAUCUUGAGUCCUGGAGACUUUAAAAAUGAUCCUCACAACAACUGCACCAUUUAUAGCUGUGUGGAUGUCCACAACCAGCUUAUCGCUUCCACAUCUGAGAUUACCUGUCCAGCAUUCAAUGAGGAGAGCUGCAAACCUGGAACUAUUUCUUUCUUACCUAACGGUUGUUGCAAAACCUGUGCCCCUCUGGACAGCAGCACCCCGUGCUCUGUGCGCCACAGAACAGACUUUAUCGUCUACAAUGGCUGCCGCUCCGUGGACAGAGUUGACUUGACUGAAUGUGAAGGAACAUGUGGAACCUUCUCGCUAUACUCUGCUGAGGCUAAUUCUAUGGACCACAGCUGCUCCUGCUGCAGAGAAACAAGGACCACUGAGAAGCAUGUGGUUCUGAAAUGCCCCGGUGGGCACUCAGUGUCACACAAGUACAUCUAUGUGGAGAGCUGCAGCUGUCAAGACACUGCAUGCAGCAGGCCCCAGUCCAAUGACCUGCAGAGCAACAAAGAAAAUGACAAGGCGAGCACUCUGAGCCGGGUCAAGAGAGCCAUCAGCUUAACAUCAAAAUGAAGGCAAAAACCCUGGCACCGUUAACUAAAAGGACUGAAAACCAUUCUUAACUUCCUUCAGUACUUCUGAAUUUUACUUUUCCCAGUAACUGCAUCCUGUUUGUUCUCUACUCUAUUUAUUUGUGCACAAAAUAAGAACACAAAUUUGUAUUCUUACAAGCGCACAGCCUCUUAAGUCCUUUUCAAAUCUGCUUAUUUUUCUCUUACUGAUUAAAAGCAUAUCUCAAAAAGCAUGACUUUUGUACUUAUUCUUGUACAAUCUUGAUGAGUU
rnacentral:lncRNA from 1 species